rnacentral:rRNA from 1 species
GGAAUUCCCGGUGUAGAGGUGAAAUGCGUAGAUAUUGAGAAGAACACCGGUGGCGAAGGCGACUCCCUGGACCGCUUCUGACGCUGAGGCGCGAAAGCUUGGGGAGCAAACAGGAUUAGAUACCCUGGUAGUCCUCGCCGUAAACGAUGUGCACUGGAUGUUGGGGGAAUCAACCCCUUUUGGGCCGAACCAAACCCAUAAACUCACCCCCCGGGGAGUACCGGUCCCAGGAUGAAACUUCAAAGAAUUUGACGGGGGCCUGCCCAGCCGGGGAACUAGUGGUUUUAUUUCAAUGCACCCCCAAAAACUUACCCUGGCCUGGCCUGGCAAGUGCUAGACCCGAGAUGGUGCUACCACCCCGGACCGGCAGCUUGCGUGCGGGCUGCCUGUCUGCCGCUCGCGCCUGGCGAGGUAGGG